CUUAGACACACCUCCCUUUUGACCACGCCCCCUGUGCUGCUGAGGAGACUGAGUGAGUGAGCGGGAGGAGGGAUAGCAUCACCCGGACGCGUGGGAAGCUUGAAAGCUUUUCUCUUUCUCUCUCUUUCUCUCUCUCUCUCUCUCUCUCUCUCUCUCUCUCUGUAUGUGUGUGUGUGUGUGGGUGUGAACCUUUGGAAGCGUUUGUGAUAUCUCUAAACACCCUCAGAUGCAGUGACUCAUCCCAUAAUACCACACAAAGUUGACUCCAGUGGCUGACUGGACAUCUCCGGAACCCUACUAGACUGGUGGUGAUCUCAGUGAAAGGGAUGCUGCAAGAGGGGAUGUGGUGUGGGUGUGGGUGUGUGUAGGGAGCGCUGGGGGUCGUACUGGUUCUGGGACCACCUUUAGGUUGUACAAAUGCUGAGCUCAGCUGAAUCGUGUGAGACGUGGCUGUGCAACACGAGGCCACCCUUAAUUGGCGCUGUUAGCUCAUCAGCAUGUCAUAGCCUCACGGUGUCGAGGGGGCGUGGCCUGCUUCAUUCAUUUAUAUUGCAGCGUUAGGAAGCACAUGUGUAGAUCAUCGUCCGUCAUGGCUUGCUCCGCUCUUUCCUGCUGUAAGUGGGCAUCUCCAGUAGAGAUGUUUCUGUAUCUGCUUUAUUCUGCCUCUUAUUAGCACCUAUUAGCAUGCUCUAGUCACUGCACUGACUCAUCUCUACUCAUUUCUUAUCAGCUGUGGCGCUCGUGCUGGGCUUCUGGUGGUGCGUGCAGGGGACAUGCCUUGAUGAUGAUGUGUGCAACAGAACAGAGACCAGACCAAUGUGUGGACCCGUGACAUUUGACAUCAAUCGGUACACUUGCUGCGCAGGAAACAUAACUAUGGGUCCCCAUCUGGCCUGCUGCGGGCUCACCGCCUUCAACAACAAGGAGAAGACCUGCUGCAACAAUAUCAUUACAGAUGGUUUGAGUCAGAUGGGGUCUGACUGCUGUGGAUCCGAGGCUUACAACUUUGUUAAUCAGAUCUGCUGUGGAGGACAAAUCAAGAACAGAAUCACAGCUGAAACACUGUGCUGUGGCUCAGAGUUGUACGAGCCAAAAGAAAAGCUCUGUUGUGGAACGGAUCGCAAACUUGUGAAUAAAACAUCGGAACAUGACAGAUGCUGUGGAACCAAUAAAUUUAACAAUCAGAAGCAGUGCUGCUCAGAUAACCUCGAAGUGGAGGCUCUCAGCAGCCGACAUUGUGAAAGUAAUUUAAAGACAGAAGAAAUCACCACAGCACAGCACAAAAUGAGCCAGUCAACAUCAUCAAUGUUAUUGACCGCAGCCCCCUUGAAGAAGAGGCAAGAAGAAAAGAAGGCGACCAAUCAAGACUCCGCUUCUCCAGACAAAUGCAAAAGGAACCCCAAACAUCACUCUGACCAUGUUACUCAAUGCUGUGGAUCAGAGGUGCAGGAUCUCUCAAAUGCGGCUGAGUUGUGUUGUGAAGGACGGCUGUAUCGCAACCAGUCGGAAGCAUCCUCAUGUGUUGGGAAAAUCGCCUUCUCUCCCAAGAAAGACACCGUCUGUCAGCAAGAAGUUCAUCAGCCAGCAGGCCAGCAGUGCUGCGGAGAGAAGACGUUGGACCCCAAAACAGAAAUCUGUUGCAAUGGACACAGACACAAAACGGCUGGACAUAAAGACAUGGUCUGCUGUGGCUCUUGCGCUUAUUCAGCCAGUAGCGGUACUCACAAGUGCUGCUCUGGUCACCUCCAUGACCUGACAGGCCUGAACAAAGAGGAGGUCGGAUGCUGCGGCACUCUACUGCUGACCAAUAAGAAGAAGCAGCACUGCUGCCACUCAGUAGAUGAAACUCUGAUCUACGAUGCCAAGCCCGGACAUUCCUGCUGUGGGCACCUGUAUUACAGCCAUUCCCUGUGGAGCUGCUGCGCCGGACGACUGAUUCCCGAGCCAACUAACCCCUUGAAAGGAGAAGCACAAGCUGUGAGUCACGAGUUAUGGCUGAUGGACUUCACCAAGGAUACUGUUUGCAAUAAGUCAGUGCUGUUGGGAACCGUGGAGAGUGUCGCCAUCAAGCAGAGCGAGCGUUUUGUCUUGCUGCAGGACGUGCUGAAUGUCAGCUUCUCCACCAGUGGCAUCAAUGUCUUUGCUAAAGCUCCGGAAACUGUGCAAAUGAACCACUGCAAAUUCCCUGCACUCAAGACUGGUAAGACCUACCUGUGGAAGAAAAAAGACGACGGCAAGCAGUGUGAGCCCAUGGCCGAUGUCAGCAGCCUGACUUCUCCCAUCCAUACCAUCCUAAGCCUGUGCCAGAGUGCCGGCUCACACAACGCUACCUAA
rnacentral:lncRNA from 1 species